CCUACGGGAGGCUGCAGUGAGGAAUAUUGGUCAAUGGGCGCAAGCCUGAACCAGCCAAGUCGCGUGAGGGAAGACGGCCCUACGGGUUGUAAACCUCUUUUGCCGGGGAGCAAGCCUGAGCACGUGUGCCCAGGCGGAGAGUACCCGGAGAAAAAGCAUCGGCUAACUCCGUGCCAGCAGCCGCGGUAAUACGGGGGAUGCGAGCGUUAUCCGGAUUUAUUGGGUUUAAGGGGUGCGCAGGCGGGUGGUUAAGCCGGCGGAAAAAAUUCGGGGCCCAACCCUGUGGGGCCGUCGGAACUGGCAGUCUUGAGGGGGGGAGAAGUAGGGGGAGUGCGGGGUGUAGCGGGGAAAGGCAAAGAUA
rnacentral:rRNA from 1 species